GACGAACGCUGGCGGCGUGCUUAACACAUGCAAGUCGAACGGAAAGGCCCUGCUUUUGUGGGGUGCUCGAGUGGCGAACGGGUGAGUAACACGUGAGUAACCUGCCCUUGACUUUGGGAUAACUUCAGGAAACUGGGGCUAAUACCGGAUAGGAGCUCCUGCUGCAUGGUGGGGGUUGGACAGUUUCGGCGGUUGGGGAUGGACUCGCGGCUUAUCAGCUUGUUGGUGGGGUAGUGGCUUACCAAGGCUUUGACGGGUAGCCGGCCUGAGAGGGUGAACGGCCACAAUGGGACUGCGAGACGCACCAGACGGCAACGGGAGGCAGAAGGCGGGAAUAUUGCACAAUGGGCGGAAGCCUGAUGCAGCAACGCCGCGUGCGGGAUGACGGCCUUCUGGGUGUAAACCGCUGUCGCCUGUGACGAAGCGGGAGUGACGGUAAUGGGUAAAGAAGCACCGGCUAACUACGUG
rnacentral:rRNA from 1 species